rnacentral:rRNA from 1 species
GCGGCGGACGGGUGAGUAACACGUGGAUAACCUACCUAUAAGACUGGGAUAACUUCGGGAAACCGGAGCUAAUACCGGAUAAUAUUUUGAACCGCAUGGUUCAAAAGUGAAAGACGGUCUUGCUGUCACUUAUAGAUGGAUCCGCGCUGCAUUAGCUAGUUGGUAAGGUAACGGCUUACCAAGGCAACGAUGCAUAGCCGACCUGAGAGGGUGAUCGGCCACACUGGAACUGAGACACGGUCCAGACUCCUACGGGAGGCAGCAGUAGGGAAUCUUCCGCAAUGGGCGAAAGCCUGACGGAGCAACGCCGCGUGAGUGAUGAAGGUCUUCGGAUCGUUAAACUCUGUUAUUAGGGAAGAACAUAUGUGUAAGUAACUGUGCACAUCUUGACGGUACCUAAUCAGAAAGCCACGGCUAACUACGUGCCAGCAGCCGCGGUAAUACGUAGGUGGCAAGCGUUAUCCGGAAUUAUUGGGCGUAAAGCGCGCGUAGGCGGUUUUUUAAGUCUGAUGUGAAAGCCCACGGCUCAACCGUGGAGGGUCAUUGGAAACUGGAAAACUUGAGUGCAGAAGAGGAAAGUGGAAUUCCAUG